rnacentral:tRNA from 1 species
GGAGAGAUAGCAUAAUUGGCUAAUGCAGUAGUCUUGAAAACUACCGCCCGUAAGGGCUUGCAGGUUCGAGUCCUGUUCUCUCCGCCA